GACGAACGCUGGCGGCGUGCUUAACACAUGCAAGUCGAACGGAAAGGCCCUGCUUUUGUGGGGUGCUCGAGUGGCGAACUGGUGAGUAACACGUGAGUAACCUGCCCUGGACUUUGGGAUAACUUCAGGAAACUGGGGCUAAUACCGGAUAGGAGCUCCUGCUGCAUGGUGGGGGUUGGAAAUUUUCGGCGGUUGGGGAUGGACUCGCGGCUUAUCCGCUUGUUGGUGGGGUAGUGGCUUACCAAGGCUUUGACGGGUAGCCGGCCUGAGAGGGUGACCGGCCACAUUGGGACUGGGGUACGGCCCAGACUCCUACGGGAGGCAGCAGGGGGGAAUAUUGCACAAUGGGCGGAAGCCUGAUGCAGGAACGCCGCGGGGGGGAUAACGGCCUUCGGGUUGUAAACCGCUUUCGCCUGUGACGAAGCGUGAGUGACGGUAAUGGGUAAAGAAGCACCGGCUAACUACGUG
rnacentral:rRNA from 1 species